rnacentral:rRNA from 1 species
UACGUAGGGUGCGAGCGUUGUCCGGAAUUAUUGGGCGUAAAGAGCUCGUAGGCGGUGUGUCACGUCGGCCGUGAAAACCUGCAGCUUAACUGUGGGCGUGCGGUCGAUACGGGCAUCACUGGAGUUCGGCAGGGGAGACUGGAAUUCCUGGUGUAGCGGUGAAAUGCGCAGAUAUCAGGAGGAACACCAAUGGCGAAGGCAGCACUCUGGGACGGUACUGACGCUGAGACGCGAAAGCGUGGGGAGCAAACAGG